rnacentral:rRNA from 1 species
GACGAACGCUGGCGGCGUGCUUAACACAUGCAAGUCGAACGGAAAGGCCCUGCUUUUGUGGGGUGCUCGAGUGGCGAACGGGUGAGUAACACGUGAGCAACCUGCCCUUGACUUUGGGAUAACUUCAGGAAACUGGGGCUAAUACCGGAUAGGAGCUCCUGCUGCAUGGUGGGGGUUGGAAAGUUUCGGCGGUUGGGGAUGGACUCGCGGCUUAUCAGCUUGUUGGUGGGGUAGUGGCUUACCAAGGCUUUGACGGGUAGCCGGCCUGAGAGGGUGACCGGCCACAUUGGGACUGAGAUACGGCCCAGACUCCUACGGGAGGCAGCAAUGGGGAAUAUUGCACAAUGGGCGGAAGCCUGAUGCAGCAACGCCGCGUGCGGGAUGACGGCCUUCGGGUUGUAAACCGCUUUCGCCUGUGACGAAGCGUGAGUGACGGUAAUGGGUAAAGAAGCACCGGCUAACUACGUGCCAGCAGCCGCGGUGAUACGUAGGGUGCGAGCGUUGUCCGGAUUUAUUGGGCGUAAAGGGCUCGUAGGUGGUUGAUCGCGUCGGAAGUGUAAUCUUGGGGCUUAACCCUGAGCGUGCUUUCGAUACGGGUUGACUUGAGGAAGGUAGGGGAGAAUGGAAUUCCUGGUGGAGCGGUGGAAUGCGCAGAUAUCAGGAGGAACACCAGUGGCGAAGGCGGUUCUCUGGGCCUUUCCUGACGCUGAGGAGCGAAAGCGUGGGGAGCGAACAGGCUUAGAUACCCUGGUAGUCCACGCUGUAAACGGUGGGUACUAGGUGUGGGGUCCAUUCCACGGGUUCCGUGCCGUAGCUAACGCUUUAAGUACCCCGCCUGGGGAGUACGGCCGCAAGGCUAAAACUCAAAGGAAUUGACGGGGCCCCGCACAAGCGGCGGAGCAUGCGGAUUAAUUCGAUGCAACGCGUAGAACCUUACCUGGGUUUGACAUGGAUCGGGAGUGCUCAGAGAUGGGUGUGCCUCUUUUGGGGUCGGUUCACAGGUGGUGCAUGCCUGUCGUCAGCUCGUGUCGUGAGAUGUUGGGUUAAGUCCCGCAACGAGCGCAACCCUUGUUCACUGUUGCCAGCACGUUAUGGUGGGGACUCAGUGGAGACCGCCGGGGUCAACUCGGAGGAAGGUGGGGAUGACGUCAAGUCCUCAUGCCCCUUAUGUCCAGGGCUUCACGCAUGCUACAAUGGCUGGUACAGAGAGUGGCGAGCCUGUGAGGGUGAGCGAAUCUCGGAAAGCCGGUCUCAGUUCGGAUUGGGGUCUGCAACUCGACCUCAUGAAGUCGGAGUCGCUAGUAAUCGCAGAUCAGCAACGCUGCGGUGAAUACGUUCCCGGG